UACAGAGGCCCCAAGCGUUACUGAGAAUCACUGGGUUUAAAGGGUGCGUAGGUGGCGCGUUAAGUCCGUUGUGAAAUCCCUUGGCUCAACCAAGGAAAUGCUUCGGAUACUGGCGUGCUUGAGGCUAGUAGGGGUCACUGGAACUGACGGUGGAGCGGUGAAAUGCGUAGAUAUCGUCAGGAACGCCGAUGGUGAAGACAGGUGACUGGGCUAGUUCUGACACUGAGGCACGAAAGCGUGGGGAGCGAACGGGG
rnacentral:rRNA from 1 species